AAAGAGAAAUCCAUAGGACAAGAAACCCACUGAAAUCAAAAGCUAAAUUAAUUUAGUGUUAUGUUAAGCAAUCGUAAAGUAAUUCAUGUAGGAAUCAUCCUAUAUGAGGUCGGUCAACAUAAUUUAUGCAUCCAAACAAUUUUUGUAUGCUAAAUUGUAUUUAAACAUCGAAAUCGUAAUGCAACAAUGAACCAAAUGCUAGUAUCAAACGCAAACAUAUGUUUACGUGCAAU
rnacentral:lncRNA from 1 species